AUCGAAAGCUUGCUUUUGAUGGGCGUCGACCGGCGCACGGGUGAGUAACGCGUAUCCAACCUGCCCACCACUUGGGGAUAACCUUUGCGAAAGUAAGACUAAUACCCAAUGAUAUCUCUAGAAGACAUCUGAAAGAGAUUAAAGAUUUAUCGGUGAUGGAUGGGGAUGCGUCUGAUUAGCUUGUUGGCGGGGUAACGGCCCACCAAGGCGACGAUCAGUAGGGGUUCUGAGAGGAAGGUCCCCCACAUUGGAACUGAGACACGGUCCAAACUCCUACGGGAGGCAGCAGUGAGGAAUAUUGGUCAAUGGGUGAGAGUCUGGACCAGCCAAGUAGCGUGCAGGAUGACGGCCCUAUGGGUUGUAAACUGCUUUUAUAAGGGAAUAAAGUGAGUCUCGUGAGACUUUUUGCAUGUACCUUAUGAAUAAGGACCGGCUAAUUCCGUGCCAGCAGCCGCGGUAAUACGGAAGGUCCGGGCGUUAUCCGGAUUUAUUGGGUUUAAAGGGAGCGUAGGCCGGAGAUUAAGCGUGUUGUGAAAUGUAGACGCUCAACGUCUGCACUGCAGCGCGAACUGGUUUCCUUGAGUACGCACAAAGUGGGCGGAAUUCGUGGUGUAGCGGUGAAAUGCUUAGAUAUCACGAAGAACUCCGAUUGCGAAGGCAGCUCACUGGAGCGCAACUGACGCUGAAGCUCGAAAGUGCGGGUAUCGAACAGGAUUAGAUACCCUGGUAGUCCGCACGGUAAACGAUGGAUGCCCGCUGUUGGUCUGAACAGGUCAGCGGCCAAGCGAAAGCAUUAAGCAUCCCACCUGGGGAGU
rnacentral:rRNA from 1 species